rnacentral:rRNA from 1 species
GAUGAACGCUGGCGGCGUGCCUCAAACAUGCAAGUCGAGCGGGGCUAUGUAAUAUCGCAAGGUAGAACAUAGCCUAGCGGCGAACGGGUGAGUAACACGUGGGUAACCUGCCUGGAAGACAGGGAUAACGAUUCGAAAGGGUCGCUAAUACCUGAUAAUAUCCUUUCAUCGCAUGGUGAUAGGAAGAAAGGGGAAACCCGCUUUCAGAUGGGCCCGCGUCCCAUCAGCUAGUUGGUAAGGUAAAGGCUUACCAAGGCGACGACGGGUAGCCGGUCUGAGAGGAUGUACGGCCACACUGGGACUGAGAUACGGCCCAGACUCCUACGGGAGGCAGCAGUUGGGAAUCUUAGGCAAUGGACGAAAGUCUGACCUAGCGACGCCGCGUGAGGGAAGAAGGGCCUUCGGGUUGUAAACCUCUAGUCAUGGGGGAAGAAGGAAGUGACGGUACCCAAGAGGAAGCCCCUGCUAACUACGUGCCAGCAGCCGCGGUAAGGUACUCUAU